rnacentral:rRNA from 1 species
GACGAACGCUGGCGGCGUGCUUAACACAUGCAAGUCGAACGGUAAGGCCCUUCGGGGUACACGAGUGGCGAGCGGGUGAGUAACACGUGGGUGAUCUGCCCUGCACUUCGGGAUAAGCCUGGGAAACUGGGUCUAAUACCGGAUAGGACCACUGCCUGCAUGGGUGGUGGUGGAAAGCUUUUGCGGUGUGGGAUGGGCGCGCGGCCUAUCAGCUUGUUGGUGGGGUGAUGGCCUACCAAGGCGACGACGGGUAGUCGGCCUGAGAGGGUGACCGGCCACACUGGGACUGAGAUACGGCCCAGACUCCUACGGGAGGCAGCAGUGGGGAGUAUUGCACGAUGGGCGCAAGCCUGAUGCAGCGACGCCGCGUGAGGGAUGACGGCCUUCGGGUUGUAAACCUCUUUCAGCACCGACGAAGCGCAAGUGACGGUAGGUGCAGAAGAAGGACCGGCCAACUACGUGCCAGCCGCCGCAGUAA